UUGUUCUUCUCGUCCAGCAGGAGGUUUUCAGGUAGUCGAAGAGCUCACCACCUGACACGUGUUCUAGCACCAGAGCCUGAUGCCUCAGAGAUGCCCGGCUAGGAUCACCUGGCAGGUCACGCCGCCGCCCUGGGACCAGCGAGGGUCAGAUGAGGCUCAAGGCCAGACAGCCCUUGGGCAGCAGCGCCUCAUCUGUCAGAAAGCCCCAUCAGAGCA
rnacentral:lncRNA from 1 species